GAAACACGGACCAAGGAGUCUAGCAUGUGCGCGAGUCAUUGGGACUUUACGAAUCCUAAAGGCGCAAUGAAAGUGAAGGUUCGUUCUUAGCACGGACCGAGGGAGGAUGGGUGGUCCGCAGCGGCCGCCUCGCACUCCCGGGGCGUCUCGUUCUCAUUGCGAGAAGAGGCGCACCAAGAGCGUACACGCUGGGACCCGAAAGAUGGUGAACUAUGCCUGGUCAGGACGAAGUCAGGGGAAACCCUGAUGGAGGUCCGUAGCGAUUCUGACGUGCAAAUCGAUCGUCGGAACUGGGUAUAGGGGCGAAAGACUAAUCGAACCAUCUAGUAGCUGGUUCCCUCCGAAGUUUCCCUCAGGAUAGCUGGCGCUCGUUGCGCACGAGUCUCAUCCGGUAAAGCGAAUGAUUAGAGGCAUUGGGGUCGAAACGGCCUCAACCUAUUCUCAAACUUUAAAUGGGUGAGAUCUCCGGCUUGCUCGAACUUUUUGAAGCCGCGAGACACGGAUCAGAGUGCCAAGUGGGCCAUUUUUGGUAAGCAGAACUGGCGCUGUGGGAUGAACCAAACGUCGAGUUAAAGCGCCUAAAUCGACGCUUAUGGGACACCAUGAAAGGCGUUGGUAACUUAAGACAGCAGGACGGUGGCCAUGGAAGUCGGAAUCCG
rnacentral:rRNA from 1 species